UCAGCUUCUCAAAACGAGAUUCCCUUCUCAGCUCCUGGGGCUGCUGAUGCUCUGGGUCCCAGGAUCUAGUGGGGAGGUCGUGCUGGCUCAGACCCCACUCUUGCUGCCUGUCACCCCUGGAGAGGCAGCCUCCAUCUCCUGCAGGGCCAGUCAGAGCCUUGUACACAGUAAUGGAAACACCUAUUUGCACUGGUACGUGCAGAAGUCAGGCCAGUCCCCACAGAGCCUGAUCUACAGGGUUUCUAACCGUUUCCCUGGGGUCCCAGACAGGUUCAGUGGCAGCGGAUCAGGGACAGAUUUCACCCUGACAAUUAGCAGGGUGGAAGCUGAUGAUGUGGGAGUUUAUUACCGUUAUCAAGGGACACACGCUCCUCCCACAAUGGUUCAGGCCC